AGCUUUGCGCAGUGGCAGUAUCGUAGCCAAUGAGGUUAAUCCGAGGCGCAAUUAUUGCUAGUUGAAAAUCUCUUCCUACUGUAUUUCCACCCCAUGCAUCCCACGAAGUGGGGUUUAGCCCAGGGAAGUUUAUGCUCAGAUAAAUGUGUU
rnacentral:snRNA from 1 species